UGCCAGCCGCCGCGGUAAGACAGGGGGGACUAGUAUUAUUCGGAAUUACUGGGCGUAAAGAGUACGUAGGUGGUUUAUUAAGUUAAAAGUGAAAGCCCAAAGCUUAACUUUGGAAUUGCUUUUAAAACUGAUAAACUAGAGUUUAAUAGAGGGUAGUGGAAUUUCUAAUGUAGAGAUAGAAUUCCUAGAUAUUAGAAGGAACACCAGAGGCGAAGGCGACUACCUGGAUUAAAACUGACACUGAGGUACGAAAGCAUGGGGAGCAAACAGGAUUAGAUA
rnacentral:rRNA from 1 species